ACCCACUGGGAUAGCUCAGUCAGUAGAGUAUAGGACUCUUAAUCUCAGGGUCAUGGGUUUGAGCCCCAUACUGGGCA